rnacentral:rRNA from 1 species
UUAAAUUGAAGAGUUUGAUCAUGGCUCAGAUUGAACGCUGGCGGCAGGCCUAACACAUGCAAGUCGAACGGUAACAGAAAGCAGCUUGCUGCUUUGCUGACGAGUGGCGGACGGGUGAGUAAUGUCUGGGAAACUGCCUGAUGGAGGGGGAUAACUACUGGAAACGGUAGCUAAUACCGCAUAACGUCGCAAGACCAAAGAGGGGGACCUUCGGGCCUCUUGCCAUCGGAUGUGCCCAGAUGGGAUUAG